AUCUUACUCCCUCCGUCUCAAAAUUCUUGUCUUAGCUUUGUCUAGAAAUGGAUGUAUAUAAAUACUAAAAUUUGACUAGAUGGAUUCAUAUUUACACAAAUCUAAGACAAAAACUUUGAGACGGAGUGAGUAUUUA
rfam:Hordeum vulgare subsp. vulgare, WGS project CAJW01000000 data, contig: morex_contig_58668